UGUAGUUCAGUAGUAGAGUGUUUGACUGGCAUUCAUGAUGUCCUGGGUUUGAUUCCCAGUA
rnacentral:tRNA from 1 species